rnacentral:lncRNA from 1 species
AACUCUGAACCUGAAGAGAAAAAUUAGGGCAGACAGGCGACUAGCGAGCAGCAGACAGGUGGGACGGGCGAUGGCACUCAACUCCUCACUCACUCCUCACAACUCCUCUGUAAUUUACUUGAAAUAUAUGUUUCUUCAUAAUUUACUUGAAAGCUUUCUGCUUUUUUUAUAUGGGAGGUGUACACUAUAUAGAGAUGGAGAUGAUAUUAGGUAGAUGGGUUUUAGACUUUACAUUAAUUACAAUAGUUGUCUACAUAUGUUUGCUUUGUUAUAAUUCUGCUCUAACUGUAAGUUUGAAAUUGAAAUCCCGAGA